rnacentral:rRNA from 1 species
GACAGAGGGUGCAAACGUUGUUCGGAAUUACUGGGCGUAAAGCGCGUGUAGGCGGCCCUGCAAGUCGGAUGUGAAAUCCCACGGCUCAACCGUGGAAGUGCAUUCGAAACUGCAGGGCUAGAGUCCUGGAGAGGAAGGUGGAAUGCUUGGUGUAGAGGUGAAAUUCGUAGAUAUCAGGAAGAACACCCGUGGCGAAGGCGGCUCUCUGGUACGUGACUGACGCUGAGACGCGAAAGCGUGGGGAGCAAACAGG